CAAACCAUCUUGGCCAAUUCUUUUGUUUCUAGAUUCCUUUUUGUUGUGCAUAAUGUCGGAAGUUAAUUUUAAAAAUUGACCCCAUUUUCUUUAAUGGUGUGGACAUCACCUUGAGAUGGACAAUUGGACGUAUAGAAUAGUUCAGGGCUGGAAGCCAAAUCGAAAUUGCAACUUGACAUUUCCUUUUCCUGUGUUUUAGAUGCACCAUAUUAAGGUUGCCUCCUCCUGCCUCCCUCCCUCUCUCCCUCUCUCUCUUAAAUGCGUGUUUAAUUCAGUGUAUGAAAGGUGGUACCUUUAGCAAAAUUAUGGACUUUUAUUACUGAUUAAGAAGGGGAAAAUUUUCUGUUUUCUCUAGUUGGAGAAUUAAGUAGUGUUCUUAUGGUCAGAUUUACAAAUCAGGGCAGGUAGCAUUCAAUCAGUAACUUACAACUCAGCCUAAAACCUCGUGGAAAUACAAAAAGUAAUGAAACCAACAAAGGUGUGAAUUAUUCAUACCUGCUUGCACCAGAAAUUCCUCAGAAUCAUACAUCAUCAAUAAUAGAUGAGAAGAUUACCUA
rnacentral:misc_RNA from 1 species